rnacentral:sRNA from 1 species
AUUAAUAAUAUGUAAUCACAAAAACAUAAACAUAAAUAAAAUGAAAAAAAUGAAAUAAAAAUGGUGGGGUAAGGUAUUGUAAUUUUAUUAAACAAAACUAUUGUAAAUAUAAAAGGGAGAUUUGCAAAACUACCCUUUUUUUACUACCUUUUGCAACAAUACCCUUUCGUGUUGUCCAUUUUUAAAAAUACUCAUUUCCUUGACCAGAAUGACCAAAUUAUCCUCAUCUAAUAGGAACAUGUAAUUGGAAACUGAAAUUUUCCCGCCAAUUUUUCUUUCCCCGCCAAAAAAA